ACGGGCUGCCCUGAACUAAGGUACUGGAAAAGUAAUUUACUUCUGCCCAUUUCCAUCUGACAAAAUGACAACCAACCUGCUGAUGGCCCUGGUGCCAUAAAGGAGCCCAGCACACUUCUUGGUGUAAUGCUAGGCCCCAGCAUCUCCAAGGUCACACACACAAGGGUUGAGGUCACUAAAGGAGGCUUCACAGGUAAUUUAAAGCGAUACUAAACACCCUGAAGACCUAGGGUUUGUUUCAAAAGGCUCUCGGAGCUACUGGCUGCUCCAGACCUAUUUCUUUGGGAGAGACCAGAAUGCUGUCUUAUUCCUUUGCAGGGGCCUACUUGUUCCUUUCCAGCUCAGCAAGGCUCAGCCGCAACUGUUCCUCUGCCCCAGCAGUGACCAGGCCACCAGGGUCAAAGCAGAGGAACAACCGUGGCAGCAUCGGCCAGGCCUUCACUGCUGUCCUGGGGCCACCUGGCCGAGCCUCCCCCAGCUUGCCAGCCCCACUCCAGAAAGACUGCCCAGCACACACUCCUGGACUCUGCUUCUGCAGAUGAACAUCUCCUCAUGGCCUGUAAAGUCCCCUCCACUACCCACACCACGCAGGCUGAGCAAUACUCCCAGCCAUUGUUUUUCUGCUAGAAAGUGAGUAACAACAAUUCUGUUGGUGCCAUGUUGUUUUUCCAGGAACAUGGCCUGUUGUGAUUAAGUAUGUGUUCAUGAGAAGGCGAGAAGGCUUUCCAAGCUUGAGCAAUCCAUCUGGCACAAAUGUGCAGUGCUAUAAGGUCUGCUCCUGCACUGCAGAACCAAGAGCUGAUUUCAUUGCGUUAGUCACCAGGCAGCAGCACCACUGAGCUUGGAUAAGUCUUGUGGUUAUUGUGGCAUUGUUUGCUUGACUUUUCCAGUGGUCCUGGCCCCUUGAGGAGCUAAAGAGUACCUCAUCCCUCCUCUGUCAUCUCUGAAAGGAAGAGGAGCUAGGGCAAAGGGUUAGGAUAAAUCAUUCUGUGAUUCUAAAUAUCAGCAUUCAUCUUCACAGGAGAAGGCUCCUCCUACCAACUGACUGAUGAGAAAGUGAUUUUUAAAUAGUGAGUAAAUUUGGUGGGAAAGGAGGAAAGGAAGC
ensembl:lncRNA